rnacentral:rRNA from 1 species
UAUCAAAAACAUGUCCUUUUGAGUUUAUUUAAGGUCUGACCUGCCCAAUGAUUAUAAAUUUAAUGGCCGCGGUAUAUUAACUGUGCUAAGGUAGCAUAAUCAUUUGUCUUUUAAUUGGAGGCUGGAAUGAAAGGUUGGACGAGACAUUAACUUUCUUUAAUUUGAUUAGUAGAAUUUAAUUUUUCAGUUAAAAAGCUGAAAUAUUUUUAUGGGACGAGAAGACCCUAUAGAUCUUUAUAAAAUAUGUAUUAAUUUCUUUUGGAUGUUAUUGUAAAUUUAAUAUAUAUUUUAUUUAAUUGGGGUGAUUUUAGAAUUAAGUAAACUUCUAAUUAGUUUUUAACAUUGAUUUAUGUUUUUGUGAUCCAUUUUUAAUGAUUAUAAGAUUAAGUUACCUUAGGGAUAACAGCGUAAUUUUCUCGGAGAGUUCAUAUUAAUGAGAAAGUWUGCGACCUCGAUGUUGGAUUAAAAUAAGUAAUUGGUGUAGGAGCUAAUUUACUAGGUCUGUUCGACCUUUAAAUUUUUACAUGAUCUGAGUUUCA